rnacentral:rRNA from 1 species
AACGUAGGGGGCAAGCGUUAUCCGGAUUCACUGGGCGUAAAGCGCAUGCAGGUGGCACAGUAAGUAGGGCAUGAAAACUCCUGGCUUAACUGGGAGAGGCUGUCCUAGACUGCUGAGCUUGAGGAUGGGAGAGGGAAGUGGAAUUGCCGGUGUAGUGGUGAAAUGCGUAGAUAUUGGGAGGAACACCAGUGGCGAAGGCGACUACCUGGCCUGUUCUUGACGCUGAGGCGCGAAAGCUAGGGGAGCAAACGGG